GGCACGGGGGGGCCCCCGGGGGCCGGCAGAGGUGGCUCGGGGCCCGGCUGAGAAUGAGGGCGGGAAGGCGGCGUGAGGCGGCGGCCUCCGGGAGGGAGCUGGGCCGGAGCAGGAAAAUUGCCUGGAAGGAGUGGUUUCCUAAAGCUCUGGCAAACAAGAGGAGCCUUAUAAAGAGAACAGAGCCAGCUCUUUCACCCCAGUGAUUCCUCUGCAUGGCUGCAGCCCACCCCAUCCCAUCCCAUCCCAUCCCAGGCAGUGCUGGAGGAACCACAUCCCAUGGCUGGACAUCUCCUUCGUGCAGGGUGGUUUGAAGAUUUCUUGUUGGACUGCAUCCCACUGCUGAUGGAAAUUUCCUUUUCCACAGACAGAAAUCCCAAGCUUUGACACCAACCAACAGAAAAUUAGAGGUUUUUUCCUUGGGUUUUGUUAUUAUGCAGAUCCCUAAAUACUGACCUGGGCUUUCAUUAAAAUCAAAGCAAAACAAAAACCAAAACUUUGAUCUUAACUUCAAACACUGGAGCUGCAUUUGGGUGAUACACAUGGAAGCUUUUAUUUAUCCAGAUGUUCUCUUUCGUUACACUGAAACCGAGCAAAAACCACCCGGUGGAAACUCAGGUUUUUAUCAAGUGGCAGUGGAUAGAUCUCUGCAGUGAGGUGCAGGGGGAAGUGCAGCAGGAGGAGCCAGGCGUCACCCCAGGGAAUGUGAAGCAUCGCAGAUAUGUAGGAGUGGCCAUGCCCUCGGAUCCCUUCUGGCUGAUGAUUUUCUCUGGAAACAGCCCGUCCCAGAGGAAGCCUGUUCUCUGCAGCCUGCUCUGGCUUACCAAGCUGGAGCAAAACGUGUGACCUGCUGCAGCACAUUCUCAAAAUGUAGGUUUGGUUUCCAAGUACCAAGUGCAGGUAAGGAAAACUUGGAAGGGAUCUGUGCAAGGUGGGACCAAAAAAACCCCAAAAGAUACAUGUCUUUAGCCUUUAUACGUUAGCAGCUCUCAACAUCAGUAGAAAAUCAUCCUAAUAAAGCAAGCACAAUUUACAUUUUCACCAUGAUUUUUUUCCUAUGUGUUCAUCAAAGUGCUUUUGUGUAAGUGCUGUAUCUUUCAAAUCAUAGAAGCCAUGGAAGAAAUUAAAAUUUUCC